CCUACGGGUGGCUGCAGUGAGGAAUAUUGGACAAUGGGUGGAAGCCUGAUCCAGCCAUCCCGCGUGUAGGAUGACGGCCUUAUGGGUUGUAAACUACUUUUAUCUGGGGAUAAACCUACUUACGUGUAAGUAGCUGAAGGUACCAGAAGAAUAAGCACCGGCUAACUCCGUGCCAGCAGCCGCGGUAAUACGGAGGGUGCAAGCGUUAUCCGGAUUUAUUGGGUUUAAAGGGUCCGUAGGCGGAUUAAUCAGUCAGUGGUGAAAUCUCAUAGCUU
rnacentral:rRNA from 1 species